GACGAACGCUGGCGGCGUGCUUAACACAUGCAAGUCGAACGGAAAGGCCCUGCUUUUGUGGGGUGCUCGAGUGGCGAACGGGUGAGUAACACGUGAGUAACCUGCCCUUGACUUUGGGAUAACUUCAGGAAACUGGGGCUAAUACCGGAUAGGAGCUCCUGCUGCAUGGUGGGGGUUGGAAAGUUUCGGCGGUUGGGGAUGGACUCGCGGCUUAUCAGCUUGUUGGUGGGGUAGUGGCGUACCAAGGCUUUGACGGGUAGCCGGCCUGAGAGGGUGACCGGCCACAUUGGGACUGAGAUACGGACCAGACUCCUACGGGAGGCAGCAGUGGGGAAUAUUGCACAAUGGGCGGAAGCCUGAUGCAGAAACGCCGGGUGCGGGAUGACGGCCUUCGGGUUGUAAACCGCUUUCGCCUGUGACGAAGCGUGAGUGACGGUAAUGGGUAAAGAAGCACCGGCUAACUACGUG
rnacentral:rRNA from 1 species